ACAAUAUUAAAAAUCUAACAAGUGAGCUUUGUUGUCGGAACAGAAACUGACAGUUAUCACCCAAAAGUUUGUUUGUAAUAGCAGCGAGAAACAAAGUAAGCGUAACUAAACUGAGUGGAAAAUGAUAUCAAAAGCUAUGCUGUCCAGCGUCAGAAAGAAGAAACGUUUGACAGUACGAUGAAAACAAUGUCCAAUCCAAUCUCGCUUGUUGAGUCGUUGAUACUCAAUUAAAAGAACUAACAAAUAAGGGCAAAUAACUGUGAUACUCACGUAAUAUUCAUCCCUGCAAAUUUGUAUCACGUCUUCGCAGCACAUCACAACAGACGAAAUCCCCAAGGUUUCGAUGGCCAUUGUGAUGUUCGGUUGUUACUGGAGAUGCUGCCCAAUGAGGAGAUGGUGAAAGGUGUGUUUAAAGCUGUUGCUGCUGCUGUCCUUGGUGUCACAAUUCAGUGUGUUGUUCGUUAGUUUGUCUGUCCUGUCAAAUCUUUUCCAUCACUGUAGUCACUCAAAUCUCAUCCAUGCAGUAUACAAUGGAGACAAUGUGAUCUUACAUGAUAUAGGAGUGAUUCAAGUCAACUACUCCUAGAUUGAAAAACUUUCUAUGCCCAACAAAUAACAACGCUGUGUUAUUAUCGCGGUUGAGAAAGCAUCAGGCCCCCUGCCAUCCAAUAAAAUUAUGGGUCUUUUGUUUAAUUUAAUUGCUUGGUGCAGUAUUAUGUUGUAUGAAAAUGAAAACAAAAAACAGAAGAAGAAAGUAACAGAUGAAGAAAAUAAGUUGGGAUAUUUAAGAUUUAUAUAUAACACUGUAUUUUGAAAAUAUAACUUUAGAAGCUUAUGUGGACACUAUUACAAUACAAUGUUUAUCAUCCCUCUA